rnacentral:misc_RNA from 1 species
GAUGUGCGCAAGCACUUUUCCCCUUCAUACACCUGUGCACCGUGGUCUCCGGACCUUUACAAACAUUGUAGUCAAGAACGUCUUCUAUGAUAACAAAAUAAAACUUUCAACAACGGAUCUCUUGGCUCU